rnacentral:rRNA from 1 species
AGAACGAACGCUGGCGGCAUGCCUAAUACAUGCAAGUCGAACGAACACUUCGGUGUUAGUGGCGCACGGGUGCGUAACGCGUGGGAAUCUGCCCUUGGGUUCGGAAUAACAGUUGGAAACGACUGCUAAUACCGGAUGAUGACGAAAGUCCAAAGAUUUAUCGCCCAGGGAUGAGCCCGCGUAGGAUUAGCUAGUUGGUGAGGUAAAGGCUCACCAAGGCGACGAUCCUUAGCUGGUCUGAGAGGAUGAUCAGCCACACUGGGACUGAGACACGGCCCAGACUCCUAGGGAGCAGCAGUAGGGAAUA